UGAGCGUCCGCCUGGCUUCCGCGGCUCUUCCGCGUCUUCGGCUCUCAAACAGGGGAAACUCGGGCAUUGAGUUCUCAAGAAUAAGAACCCUAGCUCUGCUUCCUGACUGGGUUGGAAAAUGGAUAUACCUUAUUUGAUUAUGAUGUUGGACUGAAUGAUAUAAUUCAGCUGCUAGUUCGCCCAGACCCUGAUCAUCUUCCUGGCACAUCUACACAGAUUGAGGCUAAACCCUGUUCUAAUAGUCCACCUAAAGUAAAGAAAGCUCCGAGGGUAGGACCUUCCAAUCAGCCAUCUACAUCAGCUCGUGCCCGUCUUAUUGAUCCUGGCUUUGGAAUAUAUAAGGUAAAUGAAUUGGUGGAUGCCAGAGAUGUCGGCCUUGGUGCUUGGUUUGAAGCACACAUACAUAGUGUUACUAGAGCUUCUGAUGGACAGUCACGUGGCAAAACUCCACUGA
rnacentral:sRNA from 1 species